UACAGAGGGUGCGAGCGUUGUCCGGAAUCACUGGGCGUAAAGGGCGCGUAGGCGGCCUGGUAAGUAGGGGGUGAAAUCCUGCGGCUCAACCGCAGGGCUGCCUCCUAAACUGUCAGGCUGGAGCACGGUAGAGGCAGAUGGAAUUCCCGGUGUAGCGGUGGAAUGCGUAGAGAUCGGGAAGAACACCAGUGGCGAAGGCGGUCUGCUGGGCCGUUGCUGACGCUGAGGCGCGACAGCGUGGGAGCAACAGG
rnacentral:rRNA from 1 species